rnacentral:rRNA from 1 species
GGGGGCUAGCGUUAUCCGGAUUUACUGGGCGUAAAGGGUGCGUAGGCGGUCUUUCAAGUCAGGAGUGAAAGGCUACGGCUCAACCGUAGUAAGCUCUUGAAACUGGGAGACUUGAGUGCAGGAGAGGGGAGUGGAAUUCCUAGUGUAGCGGUGAAAUGCGUAGAUAUUAGGAGGAACACCAGUUGCGAAGGCGGCUCUCUGGACUGUAACUGACGCUGAGGCACGAAAGCGUGGGGAGCAAACAGGAUUAGAUACCCUGGUAGUCCACGCUGUAAACGAUGAGUACUAGGUGUCGGGGGUUACCCCC